rnacentral:rRNA from 1 species
AGAGUUUGAUCCUGGCUCAGGACGAAUGCUGGCGGCGUGCCUAACACAUGCAAGUCGAGCGGAGAUACUUGAAUAGUUUACUAGGAGAGUAUUUUAGCGGCGGACGGGUGAGUAACGCGUGGGCAACCUGCCUUACAGAGGGGGAUAACAGUGCGAAAGUACUGCUAAUACCGCAUGACAUUCAUUAACCGCAUGGUUGAUGAAUCAAAGGAGAAAUCCGCUGUAAGAUGGGCCCGCGUCUGAUUAGCUAGUUGGUGAGGUAAAAGCUCACCAAGGCGACGAUCAGUAGCCGAUCUGAGAGGAUGAACGGCCACACUGGAACUGAGACACGGUCCAGACUCCUACGGGAGGCAGCAGUGGGGAAUAUUGCACAAUGGGGGAAACCCUGAUGCAGCAACGCCGCGUGAAGGAUGAAGGUCUUCGGAUUGUAAACUUCUUUGAUGAGGGACGAAUAAAUGACGGUACCUCAAAAACAAGCCACGGCUAACUACGUGCCAGCAGCCGCGGUAAUACGUAGGUGGCAAGCAUUGUCCGGAAUUAUUGGGCGUAAAGGGCGCGUAGGCGGUUCUUUAAGUCAGAUGUGAAAUCCCGAGGCUCAACCUCGGGCGUGCAUUUGAAACUGGGGGACUAGAGUGCAGGAGAGGUAAGUGGAAUUCCUAGUGUAGCGGUGAAAUGCGUAGAUAUUAGGAGGAACACCAGUGGCGAAGGCGACUUACUGGACUGUAACUGACGCUGAGGCGCGAAAGCGUGGGGAGCAAACAGGAUUAGAUACCCUGGUAGUCCACGCUGUAAACGAUGG